rnacentral:rRNA from 1 species
UACAGAGGGUGCGAGCGUUGUUCGGAAUUAUUGGGCGUAAAGGGCGCGUAGGCGGCGCCACAAGUAACCUGUGAAAACUCUGGGCUCAACCCAGAGCCUGCAGGCGAAACUGUGGUGCUGGAGUAUGGGAGAGGUGCGUGGAAUUCCCGGUGUAGCGGUGAGAUGCGUAGAUAUCGGGAGGAACACCUGUGGCGAAAGCGGCGCACUGGACCAUAACUGACGCUGAGGCGCGAAAGCUAGGGGAGCAAACAGG